rnacentral:lncRNA from 1 species
GGGGUUUUCAAAGAAGUAAAUAACGUAAGAACAAGUAACAUGAUUAAGUUGUUUUGAAUUGAUUUAAUGGCGCUAGUCUAGGGUUUCUUCUUCAGGUAUGGAAAUCGCAUGCCAAACAAUUAUUCAAGUCCAGUUUAUAACAAGUCUAAACUCGGAUCACUCAGGUUGAAUCAACCCACUCUCGUGGUAUUGAUUCCUUUGCAAAUCGGUCUUGAUGCCUAAACUCUCGUUUUGAUCAAGACGUGAUAGCAAGCUUUAGAGAUCAAGUCCGAUAUGUUCACAAUACACCCUAAUAUCUACUCUCACUGACUAGGGAUGCAA